AACUUUCUGUGUUUUCUCACAGGAAAUUACUUGAGCAGAAGGAUGAGGAACUCCAGCAGCAUGUGCGGUCAUUGCGGGCAAAGGAGGCAAGUUUGAUACGCACAAACUUGGAAAUAUCUCACCGUGUACAGGAGUUGGAGACUCGGCUGCAGGUCCUGGAGAGUGAACUUAACACUGCUAGAGAAGAGCAGAGAAGUGGUCAGAAGAGCUGCCACAGGCUAGAAGAACAGCUGCUGGCUGCCCAGCACGAGUCUGAGAGACUGCAGGAAGAGCUGAAGCUGGUCGUCCAGCAGCUUGACACAAACAUCAGGAGAUACAAUGAAAAACAGUCACAGCAGAAAACCAAGUUGCGCAAAGCUAAACAGAUCUUCAUGAAGACAGUCAGCCAACAUGAGCACAGAAUCCAGGAGCUGGAGAACGA